rnacentral:rRNA from 1 species
CCUACGGGAGACAGCAGUGGGGAAUAUUGGGCAAUGGGCGCAAGCCUGACCCAGCAACGCCGCGUGAAGGAAGAAGGCUCUCGGGUUGUAAACUUCUUUUAUCAGGGACGAAGCAAGUGACGGUACCUGAUGAAUAAGCCACGGCUAACUAUGUGCCAGCAGCCGCGGUAAUACGUAGGUGGCAAGCGUUCUCCGGAUUUACUGGGUGUAAAGGGCGUGUAGGCGGGACAGCAAGUCAGAUGUGAAAACCAUGGGCUCAACCUGUGGCCUGCAUUUGAAACUGUUUUUCGUGAGUACUGGAGAGGCAGACGGAAUUCCUAGUGUAGCGGUGAAAUGCGUAGAUAUUAGGAGGAACACCAGUGGCGAAGGCGGCUUACUGGACUGUAAAUGACGCUGAGGCUCGAAAGCGUGGGGAGCAAACAGGAUUAGAUACCCUAGUAGUC